rnacentral:rRNA from 1 species
UACGUAGGCAGCAAGCGUUGUUCGGAGUUACUGGGCGUAAAGAGUGCGUAGGUGGUGCCCUAAGUCUGUUGUGAAAUCUCCCGGCUUAACUGGGAGGGUGCGCCGGAAACUGGAGUGCUCGAGCGUGGGAGAGGAAAGCGGAAGUUCCUGGUGUAGCGGUGAAAUGCGUAGAUAUCAGGGAGGAACACCGUGCGGUGUGAGACGGCUUUCUGGACCAUUGCUGACGCUGAGACGCGAGAGCGUGGGGAGCGAACAGG